AACGAACGCUGGCGGCAUGCCUAACACAUGCAAGUCGAACGAACCCUUCGGGGUUAGUGGCGCACGGGUGCGUAACGCGUGGGAAUCUGCCCUUUGCUUCGGAAUAACUCAGGGAAACUUGUGCUAAUACCGGAUGAUGUCUUCGGACCAAAGAUUUAUCGGCAAGGGAUGAGCCCGCGUAGGAUUAGGUAGUUGGUGGGGUAAAGGCCUACCAAGCCGACGAUCCUUAGCUGGUCUGAGAGGAUGAUCAGCCACACUGGGACUGAGACACGGCCCAGACUCCCACCGGAGGCAGGAGUGGGGAAUAUUGGACAAUGGGCGCAAGCCUGAUCCAGCAAUGCCGCGUGAGUGAUGAAGGCCCUCGGGUCGUAAAGCUCUUUUACCAGGGAUGAUAAUGACAGUACCUGGAGAAUAAGCUCCGGCUAACUCCGUG
rnacentral:rRNA from 1 species